rnacentral:rRNA from 1 species
UGGAGCCUACGGGGGGCAGCAGCCGCGGUAAUACGGAGGAUGCGAGCGUUAUCCGGAUUUAUUGGGCUUAAAGGGUGCGCAGGCGGUCUGUUAAGUCAGCGGUCAAAGCCCGGGGCUCAACCCCGGCCCGCCGUUGAAACUGGCAGUCUCGAGUUGGAGAGAAGUAUGCGGAAUGCGCGGUGUAGCGGUGAAAUGCAUAGAUAUCGCGCAGAACUCCGAUUGCGAAGGCAGCAUGCCGGCUCCACACUGACGCUGAGGCACGAAAGCGUGGGUAUCGAACAGGAUUAGAAACCCGGGUAGUCCAA